rnacentral:rRNA from 1 species
AGAGUUUGAUCCUGGCUCAGGAUGAACGCUAGCUACAGGCUUAACACAUGCAAGUCGAGGGGCAGCAUGGUCUUAGCUUGCUAAGGCCGAUGGCGACCGGCGCACGGGUGAGUAACACGUAUCCAACCUGCCGUCUACUCUUGGACAGCCUUCUGAAAGGAAGAUUAAUACAAGAUGGCAUCAUGAGUCCGCAUGUUCACAUGAUUAAAGGUAUUCCGGUAGACGAUGGGGAUGCGUUCCAUUAGAUAGUAGGCGGGGUAACGGCCCACCUAGUCUUCGAUGGAUAGGGGUUCUGAGAGGAAGGUCCCCCACAUUGGAACUGAGACACGGUCCAAACUCCUACGGGAGGCAGCAGUGAGGAAUAUUGGUCAAUGGGCGAGAGCCUGAACCAGCCAAGUAGCGUGAAGGAUGACUGCCCUAUGGGUUGUAAACUUCUUUUAUAAAGGAAUAAAGUCGGGUAUGGAUACCCGUUUGCAUGUACUUUAUGAAUAAGGAUCGGCUAACUCCGUGCCAGCAGCCGCGGUAAUACGGAGGAUCCGAGCGUUAUCCGGAUUUAUUGGGUUUAAAGGGAGCGUAGAUGGAUGUUUAAGUCAGUUGUGAAAGUUUGCGGCUCAACCGUAAAAUUGCAGUUGAUACUGGAUAUCUUGAGUGCAGUUGAGGCAGGCGGAAUUCGUGGUGUAGCGGUGAAAUGCUUAGAUAUCACGAAGAACUCCGAUUGCGAAGGCAGCCUGCUAAGCUGCAACUGACAUUGAGGCUCGAAAGUGUGGGUAUCAAACAGGAUUAGAUACCCUGGUAGUCCACACGGUAAACGAUGAAUACUCGCUGUUUGCGAUAUACUGCAAGCGGCCAAGCGAAAGCGUUAAGUAUUCCACCUGGGGAGUACGCCGGCAACGGUGAAACUCAAAGGAAUUGACGGGGGCCCGCACAAGCGGAGGAACAUGUGGUUUAAUUCGAUGAUACGCGAGGAACCUUACCCGGGCUUAAAUUGCAGAUGAAUUACGGUGAAAGCCGUAAGCCGCAAGGCAUCUGUGAAGGUGCUGCAUGGUUGUCGUCAGCUCGUGCCGUGAGGUGUCGGCUUAAGUGCCAUAACGAGCGCAACCCUUGUUGUCAGUUACUAACAGGUUCCGCUGAGGACUCUGACAAGACUGCCAUCGUAAGAUGUGAGGAAGGUGGGGAUGACGUCAAAUCAGCACGGCCCUUACGUCCGGGGCUACACACGUGUUACAAUGGGGGGUACAGAAGGCAGCUACACGGCGACGUGAUGCUAAUCCCUAAAGCCUCUCUCAGUUCGGAUUGGAGUCUGCAACCCGACUCCAUGAAGCUGGAUUCGCUAGUAAUCGCGCAUCAGCCACGGCGCGGUGAAUACGUUCCCGGGCCUUGUACACACCGCCCGUCAAGCCAUGGGAGCCGGGGGUACCUGAAGUGCGUAACCGCGAGGAGCGCCCUAGGGUAAAACUGGUGAUUGGGGCUAAGUCGUAACAAGGUAGCCGUACCGGAAGGUGCGGCUG